CCUACGGGAGGCAGCAGUGGGGAAUAUUGGGCAAUGGGCGCAAGCCUGACCCAGCAACGCCGCGUGAAGGAAGAAGGCUUUCGGGUUGUAAACUUCUUUUAAGAGGGAAGAGCAGAAGACGGUACCUCUUGAAUAAGCCACGGCUAACUACGUGCCAGCAGCCGCGGUAAUACGUAGGUGGCAAGCGUUAUCCGGAUUUACUGGGUGUACAGGGCGUGCAGCCGGGAAGACAAGUCAGAUGUGAAAUCCAGCGGCUCAACCGCGGAACUGCAUUUGAAACUGUUUUUCUUGAGUACCGGAGAGGUCAGCGGAAUUCCUGGUGUAGCGGUGAAAUUCGUAGAUAUAAGGAAGAACACCAGUGGCGAAGGCGGAUGACUGGACGGCAACUGACGGUGAGGCGCGAAAGCGUGGGGAGCAAACAGGAUUAGAUACCCGAGUAGUC
rnacentral:rRNA from 1 species